GAGAGAUCUGGACCUGAGUGAGAACGAUCUGAAGGAUUCAGGAGUGGAGCUGCUGAGAGAUCUUCUGGAGAGUCCAGACUGCAGACUGGAGACUCUCAGGAUCACAGGAGAGACGAUCAGAGCCAAGAUCCAGAAGAAAUCUCCAUGAGGGGAUAUUGUUAACCAUCAGGCAGCGCAUUCAGACCCGUCAUCCUGCAUCUGGUUCGUUUCCUGACAUUUCUGUCCCUCAAGUCUUUGGAAACAGUCAGAAGAGCGUCUACGGAGAACACGAAGAACAGUUUUAAAUGAUGACAUUUUGCGUUAAUCACCCCGACUGCAUUAAUCACACGUGACUAUUUUUCACUCAUGUUCCCGGUAAUACCUUACACUAAGCAGUGGCGGCGCCAGAGAUUUUCUUUUGGGGGUGCUGUGGGGUAGCUUGACGUUUCAUAGGGGGCUCAAACAUGUAGGGUUCCCCAUUAAGACACCGGGCGCUACAGUGGAAUGUUCUACUGCAACACUCCCCACACGCACACACAGUGCACGGCAUAUAGGUGUAAGCAGGGGUAAAGUGCUAUUUUUUUUACAAGUGGGGAGUGGACCUAACCUCUUCUAGGGGGGUUCUCCUCACCUCCUCUAGGGGGGUCGGGGGCCAUGCUCCCCCGGGAAGAUCAAUCAAUCUGGUGCACUUUGAGAGCAACACAAAGAGAUCUAUGGAUACCUCUCUCUACAGAUAUGAAACAGAACUUUAAACAGAUUUACUUUUUCUUUAUGGAUAUUUUACAAAUCACUCCCCUUUUAAACUGUAUUCUUGUUUUUCUGUCAUAUAGUAUUUCAUACCUGUUUUUCAUUUAUUCUCUUAUUGUUUUAUAACUCUAAUGAUCAUAUGAAGGUGUGCCUCGGAAAUAAUCUUUUGAAUCAUUCGUGACCAAACUAAUUUAUUUUUAUUUUUUUUAAUCUUUAUGCAUGCUUUAGUUAACAUUAAUCUGUCUCCGGCUCUUUUCUGCUGUAACAAUGUACAUGUCCCCUCUGUGGGACUAAUAAAGGGAUUCUGAUUCUGA